ACCCCCGUAGUGUAACUAGGCUAGCACGCGUGAAGAAUGAUUGCGUACUGCUGGUUCGAAUCCAGCCGGGGGUU
rnacentral:tRNA from 1 species